AGGGGAAGCUCCUGAGAUCUGCUUUUUAGCUUUCUCUGUCAGUUCACCUCACUGGAAAAUACUUUACCCUCUGGACCAAACCAGAAAACUGAGGCAUUGUGAAGAAUAAAAUAAAAGCCCCAGGAGUACAACUGCUGAGGUUCACCACUCUAAAGAUUACCAGGGAUCAGACACUCUGCUCUCC